rnacentral:rRNA from 1 species
AUUGAACGCUGGCGGCAGGCCUAACACAUGCAAGUCGAAUGGUAACAGGAAACAGCUUGCUGUUUCGCUGACGAGUGGCGGACGGGUGAGUAAUGUCUGGGAAACUGCCUGAUGGAGGGGGAUAACUACUGGAAACGGUAGCUAAUACCGCAUAACGUCGCAAGACCAAAGAGGGGGACCUUCGGGCCUCUUGCCAUCAGAUGUGCCCAGAUGGGAUUAGCUAGUAGGUGGGGUAACGGCUCACCUAGGCGACGAUCCCUAGCUGGUCUGAGAGGAUGACCAGCCACACUGGAACGGAGACACGGUCCAGACUCCUACGGGAGGCAGCAGUGGGGAAUAUUGCACAAUGGGCGCAAGCCUGAUGCAGCCAUGCCGCGUGUAUGAAGAAGGCCUUCGGGUUGUAAAGUACUUUCAGCGGGGAGGAAGGGAGUAAAGUUAAUACCUUUGCUCAUUGACGUUACCCGCAGAAGAAGCACCGGCUAACUCCGU